GUGGGCACCGAGGUGGCCGCGAGGGGAGGGGAGAAGAGCGGAGCGGAGGGGAGGGGACGCGGCCGAGGUGGGGCUGGCGGCCCGGCGGGUUCCACGCAGGCUGGGGGCGGAGGGCCAGAUCGACCCCAGCCGGGGCGGCCGAGCAGGGUCCACGGGGGUCGGGGAUGGGCGGCCAGGCGGGGUCGGAGGGACGAAAGCCGGGGUGAACCUGCGCCGCGGGCCAAGCGCGACCCCCUCCCUUCCCGACCUGUGCGGAGAGGAGAGAAAUGAAGGGGGGCGCCCAAGGAGCCCUGGCCCCGGGAGUGGGAGUCAGCGGGUGGGAACAGAUCGCCCUUCCUUUCCGCUGGGAAUUGGGGGACUCCCCCUGCUUUCACUCUCCCAGCCCGCCAUGGGGUUGGGCCUUGUCCUUUGCCUUGGGUUUGAAGGCGGAGACAAAAAAGGCUGUCCAAAAUCCAGCCAGCUUGGGAGGCAUGGUUGAUGCGAGUUAGCAAAGAUUCUCGACUGUGGUAAGUCUGUUCAAGGGGACGCAUUCACCAAGUGUCCCCGUUAGCCAAGUUAGCCUGCUGUGGCCAGCUCUUUACUUUUUCCCCCCGAAGCCCCUUCAGCUCUGUUUUCUCUUUCGGGGUCAUGAAGUUUGUCCACGGCCCCUACUCCUGACAGCCUCUGGGAUGGGUGCUGCGGAGGCAGCAGCAGCCACACAGAAAGAGGCAGAUCAGCGUUGUCACCCCUACUUUUGUAAAAGGAAAUCUGGUAUUGCCAGGCUGUGUGGUUAGCGACUCACAUAUGUUCUCGAAAUCUCACAAAAGCCCUGUGAGGUAGAAAUUAUUUUACCCAUUUUAUAGGAAGGAAAUUGAGACUGAGCGAGCCGGCUUCGGAUUGGCUCAAGGUCACAUAUAGUCAUCAUUCGAACCUCACUCAGUCUGCUUCUUUCUGAAGUCUGUGCAGCUUAAUCACUUCAGAAUGGGAAGGAAACGGGGGCCCAGGGAAGUUAAGCAACUUGCCCACUCACUCAGUCUAAUUGGUGCCGGGGCAGGGACAGAACUCACUCAAUUCCACUGCUUUCCCCAGUUUCUGGUGAGUGAUGUGUGCCUGGCACUGUGUGCACCUGGCACUGUGUGUAGUAGGAAUGCUGUUUCUUCUGUCUGUAACCUCCUCCCAGUUCUGUAAACAAAGACAAAACCAUGCCCUGCCCUUAAAGCCUAUAGGGUUCAAAUGCCACCUCUUUGAUGAUGCUUUCCCUAUAACACCAUUUGAUACCUCUCAUGGGACUUAGCAAGUAAUUGCAACGAGAGGCAUAUAUGUUAGUUCAAUAUAGCAAACCUUUGUUGAGGGCCCACUGUGUGCCAGGUAUGUCUCCCCUCCCUGAGGACUGGAAGCAACCAUAGUUUAUAUUUCUCCUUCUUUCUCGCUUUAUAAGGUGUUGCUAAAAGCCUCCAGUGAAUGAAUGAACACUUGUGUGCCUGCCCUCAAGGAGCCUGCACUACACUUGGAGAUAUAUACAGAAACCUGUUGAGGGCUAACUUAGGUUGGCAAGGCCCCCAGUGGCCAAGGCAUGAGCCUGGAUGCCCUGCAAAUUGAGUACGUGUUAGGGAUGGGGGCCAUUCUUUAUAGUUUGACUCUGGAGAGCUAGGACCACCUUUCCCAGCCUCAGGGGUGCACAUCCUCAGGAGCUGCCUACCUCCAGAUAUUGUAAGUCCAUGCAGAAGAGGAAGGGCCCAGCUGGGGCACCUCUUGGUUGAGGAAUGAGUAUGUGACAUUUUCAUGUGGGCACAUUUUGAUACUACUUUAAAAAUAGACCAAGCACAGUGGCUCACACCUGUAAUUCCAGCACUUCGGGACGCUGAGAGAGGUGGAUCACCUGAGGUCAGGAGUUCGAGAUCAGCCUGGCCAACAUGGAGAAACCCCGCCUCUACUAAAAAUACAAAACAUUAGCUGGGUGUGGUGGCACACACCUGUAAUUCCAGCUACUCGGGAGGCAGAAGCAGGAGAAUCGCUUGAAUCCAGGAGGCGGAGGUUGCAGUAAGCCGAGAUCACGCCACUACACUCCAGCUUACACUGGACAUGAUGAGGAGGAGGAGGAUGAUGGUGGUGAUUAUGAUAGAAAUGGUGAUGGUGAUGAUGACAAUGGUGAUAGUAGGGAUGGUCUUGCUCUGUCGCAAUCAAUAAAUGAAUGCAUAAACACAUUUCUACUUGUUUUUGCAGUCCUAAGAUAAGUGCUCAGUAGCAUCCCUGCCCUUCUAAUGUGAACUUGAGGGAUGGGUAAGACCCAGAGAUGGCAUGGGGGACGGGAUAAGGAAGGCCUACUGUUCAUAUUGUGAACAUGAAAUGGUUUUACAUUUUGAUGCCACUUCAUUAAAUUGACUGUAUGAUAUGAGCUAACGCUACACCCUCCUUUAAAUUUUGGCUAACACAUCCAUAUCCUCAGGUGGUAUCAGUUGAUAAUGCCCAUGAAAAUAUUUUGUAAACUACAGGGUGCUAAACAAUUAUUUACUUGUAUCCCUUUCUGUGGGGCACAGUUUGAUGCUAUACACAAAGCAGUGAAGUCUCGACAAGAAUGAUGACCACUACAAUGAGCACAAAAUAAAGUCUUUUUGGGGUUUUU
rnacentral:lncRNA from 10 species